rnacentral:rRNA from 1 species
GACGAACGCUGGCGGCGUGCUUAACACAUGCAAGUCGAACGGAAAGGCCCUGCUUUUGUGGGGUGCUCGAGUGGCGAACGGGUGAGUAACACGUGAGUAACCUGCCCUUGACUUUGGGAUAACUUCAGGAAACUGGGGCUAAUACCGGAUAGGAGCUCCUGCUGCAUGGUGGGGGUUGGAAAGUUUCGGCGGUUGGGGAUGGACUCGCGGCCUAUCAGCUUGUUGGUGGGGUAGUGGCUUACCAAGGCUUUGACGGGUAGCCGGCCUGAGAGGGUGACCGGCCACAUUGGGACUGAGAUACGGCCCAGACUCCUACGGGAGGCAGCAGUGGGGAAUAUUGCACAAUGGGCGGAAGCCUGAUGCAGCAACGCCGCGUGCGGGAUGACGGGCUUCGGGUUGUAAACCGCUUUCGCCUGUGACGAAGCGUGAGUGACGGUAAUGGGUAAAGAAGCACCGGCUAACUACGUG